rnacentral:rRNA from 1 species
GACGAACGCUGGCGGCGUGCUUAACACAUGCAAGUCAAACGGAAAGGCCCUGCUUUUGUGGGGUGCUCGAGUGGCGAACGGGUGAGUAACACGUGAGUAACCUGCCCUUGACUUUGGGAUAACUUCAGGAAACUGGGGCUAAUACCGGAUAGGAGCUCCUGCUGCAUGGUGGGGGUUGGAAAGUUUCGGCGGUUGGGGAUGGACUCGCGGCUUAUCAGCUUGUUGGUGGGGUAGUGGCUUACCAAGGCUUUGACGGGUAGCCGGCCUGAGAGGGUGACCGGCCACAUUGGGACUGAGAUACGGCCCAGACUCCUACGGGAGGCAGCAGUGGGGAAUAUUGCACAAUGGGCGGAAGACUGAUGCAGCAACGCCGCGUGCGGGAUGACGGCCUUCGGGUUGUAAACCGCUUUCGCCUGUGACGAAGCGUGAGUGACGGUAAUGGGUAAAGAAGCACCGGCUAACUACGUG